rnacentral:rRNA from 1 species
AUUGAACGCUGGCGGCAUGCCUUACACAUGCAAGUCGAACGGCAGCACGGGUGCUUGCCCCUGGUGGCGAGUGGCGAACGGGUGAGUAAUACAUCGGCACAUGUCCUGUAGUGGGGGAUAGCCCGGCGAAAGCCGGAUUAAUACCGCAUACGAUCUACGGAUGAAAGCGGGGGACCUUCGGGCCUCGCGCUUUCGGGUUGGCCGAUGGCUGAUUAGCUAGUUGGCGGGGUAAAGGCCUACCAAGGCGACGAUCAGUAGCUGGUCUGAGAGGACGACCAGCCACACUGGAACUGAGACACGGCCCAGACUCCUACGGGAGGCAGCAGUGGGGAAUUUUGGACAAUGGGCGAAAGCCUGAUCCAGCAAUGCCGCGUGUGUGAAGAAGGCCUUCGGGUUGUAAAGCACUUUUGUCCGGAAAGAAAUCCUUGGCUCUAAUACAGUCGGGGGAUGACGGUACCGGAAGAAUAAGCACCGGCUAACUACGUG